rnacentral:rRNA from 1 species
UAUGGCCACAUCACAUUGAUACACUGGCUCCUGUAUGAUCACUAAAGUUAAGCAACAUCAAGCCUGGUCAGUACCUAGAUGGGUGACCACUUGGGAAUACUAAGUGCUGUAAG